AAUAUGAAAUACCUUUGAAGGGUCAUGUUCUUCAAACCUGGAUAAAAAUUGAACUUGAAGGGACAGAGACAAACGAAAUUGAGAUUGUAGCAGUUAAAACUUCAUAUUACACGAAAUACAAAAAAAUGCUGCGGUUCAACUAAUUUGAAUUUACCCUUGUAACAAGGUAACCUACCUCCUUAAAAGAAACGCUCGGAGGAACGGAAAAGACUCAUCUAAAGCACUUGUGCAGGAUAUUAGCUUCCUGCACAUAAUUCAAGAAAUAUAUUGUAUAGAAUAAAAUCAUCCAGGGAACGGUUAACUCUUUAAUUCUUUCUGUCAGGUGGCGUUAUGGUGUGUGUAUAUGUCCCGUCCAGCCUUUGCUUGGUGAGAAUGGGUAUCCGACUUGCAACUGAACUUCAGAUAAAACUUCACUUGGCAGCAAAUGAGAAUUAUUUAUUUAUGUUCAGCAGAACGGAUAGGUCGGAUACAACACAAACAAGAUUGUAUCACGGAGGUACAGCCAAUGGCAACACAAGUCGUCUCAAACAUGGCGGGAAGAAAGAUGCAAACAGUGUAUGUAAGUAAAGAGAUGGAAAACAACAGUCAAUAUGAAAGACAUCUUUCUCAUGUUUCACCUGACAUUUAUUUGCGGUUGAUCAGAGCUAAAAAUAUCGCGAGGAAAUAUUUUUUUUUUUUUGUAUAAAAUAUUACAUGCUUAAAUUAUA